UGAGGAAUAUUGGACAAUGGGCGCAAGCCUGAUCCAGCCAUGCCGCGUGCAGGAAGAAGCAUCUAUGGUGUGUAAACUGCUCUUGUACGGGAAGAAACACUCCUUCGUGAAGGAGCUUGACGGUACCGUAAGAAUAAGCAUCGUCUAACUCCGUGCCAGCAGCCGCGGUAAUACGGAGGAUCCAAGCGUUAUCCGGAAUCAUUCGGUUCAAAGGGUCCGUAGGCGGUUAGUAAGUCAGUGGUGAAAGCCCAUCGCUCAACGAUGGAACCGCCAUUGAUACUGCUAGACUUGAAUUAUUAGGAAGUAACUAGAAUAUGUAGUGUAGCGGUGAAAUGCUUAGAUAUUACAUGGAAUACCAAUUGCGAAGGCAGGUUACUACUAAUGGAUUGACGCUGAUGGACGAAGGCGUGGGAAGCGAACA
rnacentral:rRNA from 1 species